CCUGUAAGCGGGGAAUAACCCGUUGAAAGACGGACUAAUACCGCAUAAUACUAAAUUACUGCAUGGUAAUUUAUUUAAACAUUUAUGGCUUACAGAUGGGCAUGCGCAUGAUUAGCUAGUUGGAGAGGUAACGGCUCCCCAAGGCAACGAUCAUUAGGGGUUCUGAGAGGAAGGUCCCCCACACUGGUACUGAGACACGGACCAGACUCCUACGGGAGGCAGCAGUGAGGAAUAUUGGUCAAUGGACGAGAGUCUGAACCAGCCAAGUCGCGUGCAGGAAGAAUGUCCUAUGGAUUGUAAACUGCUUUUGCAGGGGAAUAAAGUGCAUCACGUGUGAUGUUUUGUAUGUACUCUGCGAAUAAGGAUCGGCUAACUCCGUGCCAGCCGCCGC
rnacentral:rRNA from 1 species